GGCUUCCGGGACUCAAACAUGGCGGUAACGGCCACACCUUCCGAAUACCCGUGCUUCUCAUUGGGCAGUUAACGCGAAGUCAUAACAGCGUCCCUGGUUGGCGAAUGACGCGUGCGGUGAAGCGGGGAUGGCAGGAAAAUUAAAACACACCAAGAAGGAUACAAUUACUCGACUGAAGUGCGUGAAUCUGUCUCUCUGUGUGUAGUUACACUGCAGCAAUAUUAUAUAAAGGAUUCAAGAGAACUUGGUAAUUAAGAGAGACUAUGAAUAGGAACACAGUAGUCAGUGUGCAGAAGCCCAGCAGGAUAUUCUAGAACACACUGUUAAUGAAGACAUAUCUCCUGCAGUAGCAGUAUAUGAAAGCAGUUUGUAUAAAGGAGACAUUAUUGCCCAUUCACCCUCAGAUGUGCACUUCAGAGACAUCCCCACACCUAUAGGGAAUCCAUGUAAUAAGGUUGUGUAAUGGAAUACAGCUUGUACUCAAUUCUGAACACAACAUGGAGAAGAAAGAUCUAUGCUUGGAUCCAUGGAUGAAAAAUUGCUGAAGGAAACACAGAAAUGAGCCGGGCUGUGAUGACACACACCUUUAAUCCCAGUACUCCGGAGACAGAAGCAGGCAGAUCUCUGUGAGUUCGAGGUCAGCCUGUUUACAGGGUGAGUUCCAGGACAGCCUCCAAGCCACAGAGAAACCCUGUCUCUAAUUCCCCUCCCCCCCAAAAAUCCCACAGAAAUGUGGUGGAUUCAUUGAAGGUGGCAUUACUGUGUUUUUGCUAAUAGUUUGGUAUGGUACUGAAUUAAAAGGUCAAGGAAAGUGGGGGAAGAAAGUGCUCAGAUAUGAAGAGCCAUUUAGUAAGGACAUGGUGACAGAUUUUUUAAAAAGGCAUAGAAAACAUGGCCAGAGAAGCCCAAAAGUUGACCAUUAGAUGAAAUUUUUAUGCGGAACUCUACUUGUGAUGGUUUGAAUAAGAACAGCCUGCAUAGCCUCAUAUAUUUGACUUCUUAGUCAUCAGGGAGCAGCGAUACCUGGAAAGGGUGAGGAGGUGCGGCCUUGUUGGCAUAGGUGUGAUGUGAGCUUCUUGGAUGAAGUGUGCCCCUGGGAAUGGGCUUCGAAAGCCCAAGUCACACCUGGAGUCUGGCUUUCCCUGCUGCCUAGGGAUCUGGAUGUAGGACUCUCAGCCUCUUCCCCAACACCAUGUCUCCCUGUAUGCCACCAUGCUCCCCACCAUGAUGAAAUGCACUAAGCCUCUGAAACUGCAAGCAAGCCCCAAUUAGAUGCUUUCUUUUAUAAGAAAGUAGAACAGUGACUAGGACAGAGACCAUUUGUCACUCCAAAUAAGAUUCACAGUUGUCUCACAUGACCUAACAGACUCAAGAACCACGGGUGCUGGACAGAGACUUCUGUACUUCACAACAAAUAAGACUCUGUAAUUCCUCUGUUCUCUAUUUAUGUCAACUCAGGCGUGUGAGUGUGUGUGUGUGUGUAUGUGUGUGUGUGUGUUUGUGUAUUUGCAAAUUGUGCUUCAAUAACACUAGAUCUGAAGAAAAUAUAUUUGCAGUUACAUCAGCUUUUACUUUCUGGCUUGUCUGCUACAUAUAAGAGGAUAGUGACUUGUCAGAAUGAUUUAAUAUGUUAUGAAAUAAUAAAAGAAAGUAAAUGAAUUUACAAGGUAGAAAAGUUUGUUUACUGUGAAAGAUUAAGAUAUUUCUCUGAUACAGCGCAUUUUCCAGAUACAUGAUUUAUACAGAAUGUAACAUAUGAAGGCACAUAUACCUCAAGAUUGCAAAGUUUCAAUCAUACUUUUGAUUAUAUCCUUUCCAUGGAUGAGAGCAAGUACAUAAACAUUUUAAGAGAGUUUGUUGUCUUUCUUUCAUUAAUUUUCCUCACGUGCUGAUUCUGUGUGAUAAGUGUGACUAUCACAAUUACCAUGUCUACAAAAGAUUGUACGUUGUGGGCUUAGCAUUAUUUCUCAUUACACUGAUUUCUGUUUUUCUCCGUUUGUUUCUUUUUAUUUUAUUGAAAAUAUACUUUUC